rnacentral:lncRNA from 10 species
GGGAAAUCUCAGGACCUUCUGCUCAAUUUUGCUAGGCAACUAAAGCUGCUCUGAAAAAUAAAGUCUAUUUUGAAGAAAGCACUUAUUCAUUAGGAGUUGCUGUUUUGGCUGAACUUAGAACUCUGAGACUACAAUGUGCACAGGCCUGAACUAGUCUGCUGGAGUUCAUGUGGAGGAGAAACAAAGCACCCUGGCCAACUGCCUGCAAACUUCCAGAGAUGCGCUGGCAGCUGACUUAGAAGCAACAGCUUCACACAGAUGGUAUAACCAGCUCUCACAUUUGAGUAAGGUCAAAACCCUAUGAUAAAUCCUUCAUUUUAAAUAUCUCCUGGUGGUUAUCCCUCUCUGAUGACUCUAGAAGAUACCCCUAGCAACUUCCAAAGUAAUCAGUGACUUACUUUAAAAAAAAAUAGCUUAUUUACUUACAGAUGAGACUUCCAAUUUCAGCAUUAACAUGCAAGGGACUUGGAAGUCAAUGUUCUAUACUUAAAACAAGAAAAAAGCUAAACUGAAAAAUCAGUGGCUUUUCUUAGAUCCAUCAGAGAAUCGAGGUCACAGUGCAAACCACCACCCUGGAGAGACUGGUGCAUAGAGAGGAACAAGCAGAAUCAGCUUACCUGAGCAGAAGCUCCUGGAGCAAUGGUAGGUACACUUACACGGUAGUUUUGAUGAAAUGUUGGAGGCUGAAUGUGUAUUAGUUUGAGAGUGAGAUACUUUCCUGGGGGCUCAGGCAUAGGGGGGUCUCCACACUUUCAUGGUUUUAUUUUCAGUAACCUCACCAGGUUCUCAAGGUGAAGAUCUAAGAGAAAUCCCCUUCUGUCCAGAGUGUUCUCCAUAACUAAGGCCUGCCCUUUAGGGGAGAGCCUUAUGUACCUCAGGGCAAAUCCAGCCUCCUCUAGCCUUCCUGUCUCACCUAAGGGGAGAAAAAACAAAAAGCUAAGAAACACUUCUGGCAGUCACAGGCCAGUGACUUUUGCCCAGUAGAAGACAUUUGCAUGAGGUUACAGAUUGCUUCCUCUCCUCCAACUUUACGUCAACAGGACUCUAGUAACAGUGGAUUAUAACUGCCAGAGUUAUAAGACACAGGCUCUAUUUAAGAAGGAGUUCUUAGGGAAAUCCAAAGAUAACAGGGGAGGGGGAAAAUCCAACAAAGACACUACAGGAAAUGGAAGCUUAUGGCGCCUACAGGUAGAGCAAACAGUAAACUUGGUUCAGCUCCUAGCUAAAUUAACAUAACUCCUCGCUCCAAAGGCCUAUUUCUCUCCCUUCCUAUGACUUGAUACAUCACAUUGGUUUUCAAAACAAACAAAGAAACAAACAAAAAACGACAAAGCAUGCUAAAAGGCAAGAAAAAAACGUAAUUUGAAAAGACAAAGCAAUCUUCAGAACCAGACUCAGAUAUGUACUCACGGAUGAGUUUCAACCCAAUGCAGUAAUUAUUGUUUCUAAUGUCCACAUUUUUCCAUUUUUGGCCAGUGGAAGUCCUUUCAGGUUGGUUUCUCUGUCCUUUUGGCACAGCCCUCAGAGUAGCUUCCCUGCUACUCAGACUCACCUUGUAUAUUUCUUGUCCAUGUGUACAGCUAGCUUUUUCUCCACAGAGCCCUCAUUCCUCUUAGGAGGCAAUGGUAAUUAGAGGUCACAGUCUAGGGGUUCAGGGUGUUUGUUGCCAGAGUUGGUUGUUACUUCUAGGCCUUUUCAGUUAGUAUAAGAACAGAGGCUGCUUUUUAUAAUUAUUUAUUGUUAUAGUUUUUAAAAAGAAAAAUACAUCAUAAGCCUCUACUGAUAAUUCCAGUUUAAAUUUAGCAUUCCAU